AAGAUCUGGUCAAAAGACUUAAAGAGGUUUUCAAAUCAUCACUCGAAGAGAACCGCUGGAUGGACAAAGAGACUAAACAAAAGGCUUUGCUCAAGUUGGAUCAAAUGGAUUCAAAAAUUGCAUAUCCGAAAUGGGGGCUGAACAUGACAUUCCUCGAAGAGCUAUAUCAUUACGUUCCCCAGCUGGACCCUACCCACGCGUUCUUGAAAAUAUGGCAUUACAUCGCAGUGAACAACGGAAGAAAAAAGCUAGAGAAAUUGCGCGAGCCUUACAACAAGGAUU